UCUCUCAGCGCAUCAUCUCCAGCACCAUCUCCAGAUCUGGUGCGGCCAGCAGCCCCCACCCUUAACCUCUUCCCUAACCAGGUUUUUAUAUACAGAGAUUGGACGUCUUCAGAACAUUCACAAUAGCCAUAGAUGCAGUGGAUACGAACAAUUGCAAGUCGAUGAUUCUACAAGCUUGUUUUUUCUCUCAGGGACAGAUUUUCCUGGCCAAGGAAAAUGGCAAAAUGAGACCGGGCUGGAAAUUGCAUCUAUAUAUCACACAGAUGCCAUGUGAGGAUGCAUCAAUGACUUCACCAUUGUCAUCAUUGAGUCAUGAGCCCCAACCAAAAGAGAAUUUGCUGUCUAUACUCAAAGCCCCAGGUUCUAUGGGAUGAUGAUUUAGAUGAAUCGAUUUACACUCCAGGUUUGUUGGUUUGAGCUAAUCCCUUUUUUUCUUUUAGUUUUCUCCAUAAUCUUUCAAAAAGGGACAAAAUCUUCAUAAUUCAUUAAUUCUUUUUUCCAUAUAGAUUGCUGAUGUGUUGUUGGGAGCACGUCAUCUCAAAAUUACAAAAGAUUACAGUUCUAUUUUUUUUCCUCCGAUGAAUCUAUUUUGGAGCAGUUCCAUACUUUGUUUCAUUUAUUUUUCAAAAAUAAAAAAUACAGUUCAUCUAAAAAAAAUCAUGGUUCACAGUUCCAUGUUCUGUAUCUUGGAAGAGAACAGUUCCAUAGUUCAUAAUAGUCACUUCUUGGGCCGCAAUGGCCAAGAAGUGAAAAUAGAAAACUAUGGAGGUUCAGUUAUCCAAACUAGUAAUAUGAUGGGUUUCGCUAUUGAUGACCCACACACCAAAGUUCCUCAAGAGUCAAGAUUGAAAUAUUCCAACCCUUCAAUACCCAGCCAAGAAGUACACAUUUAAGAAAGAAAAAAUAGUGAUAGAUCGAACUCAAUAGAAAACUGGCCAAAUAUCAAUGACUAGGAUCUGGCAGUCUUGGGUUUUUUUUUUUUGGUUGCAUCACAUCAACAAUUUGAACCAUACUUCUUUGCCAUUUUACGUCUGCUUAUUUAUAACAUGUGGGCUUUUCUCUAGAUUGGUCAUAACAUGUUCUAGUAGAGGAACCUAGUUCAAAUGAUGCUGGUUCUUCAGUUCUCAUUUUUGGUCCCUUAGUUAUUGGACCUUAUCAUAAAAGCUACCUUCUCCUAUGGUCCAUCUGCUUUGUAUUUUUUCCGGUCAGAGGAGGAAAAGGAGAUCCUUCUACUAGAAACU